rnacentral:tRNA from 1 species
GCCGAGGUGGUGAAACUGGCAGACACGUAUGCCUUAGGAGCAUAUGGGGUAAAACCCUUGGAGGUUCGAGUCCUCUCCUCGGCA